rnacentral:lncRNA from 9 species
UUUUUUUUUUUUUUUUUUUUUUGCUUUUUAGGGUUGCACCUGCAGUAUAUGGAAGUUCCCAGACUAGGGGAUAAAUCAGAGCUACAGUUGCCGGCCUACGCUGCAGCCACAGCAACCCGGGAUCCAAGCUAUCUCUGUGACCUACACCACACCUCACAGCAAAACCAGAUCCCCAACCCACUGAGUGAGGCCAGCAAUCAAAGCCGCAUCCUCAUGGAUACUAGUCGGAUUCAUUUCAACUGGGACAAAAUGGGAACUCCCUGAAGAACAUCUUGUUGAGUCCCCUGGGCUUUGUCUUACUCCCUUAAACCCCAGACUGGGCAUGGGAGAGGUCUGAGUUGCUCUGGCAACAGCAGAACCCAAGCAGGCCAUUCUGGUCACAAAAGAGGUGCCAGCAAAUUUCCCCCUCUACCCACCCAAGUGACCCCAGGAGCCCUGAUGUCUCCCACCUUCUAUUCAGCAACAGAAAACUACCCAAAAAUGGUGGCUCCCAGCCCUUCACUUAAGUGCAGAAGGUAAACCAGACCUAGAGUCUCCUACUUUUUACCCAGUAGCAGAGACCACUCAGAAUCCUUGGCUCCUGGCUUUCCAUCAGCAGCAGGAAAUGGCCCUGGUAGGCACUCUGUUCUCCUUAGAGCAACAUCAGAGACAGAGUGGAAAUACUAGGGGAAGUGCUCUUCAUCCUGGAAUUCAGUGUCUUACACCCCCUACCUAAUAACAACGGUAGGACAGGGAGGCUCAAGAAAGUGCCAUCCCAUGCCCAUAGCACAAGCAGGGAUCCAGUAGAGAGCUCAAGCAGAGCCAGAAAGAGGAAGUAGGACAAAACUGUAUUGAAAAGAAGACUCAGUAACUAAACUAUCAUUGAAACUGCCACCCACAAGAGUAGGACAGAACCUAUAUGCUAAACCUAAACAGAGCAACUGCCUGGUAAAACAGAAGAUUUCAAUAGCAUCAGUGGUUGCAAAUAUAAUAUCCAAGACGUAAGCACACAAUAAAAAAGUGAAGAACUUAUUUGCUGUUGUUUUGCCAUACCAAGAGUCAGGAAAACCACAACUUGAAUGAGAAAAGAUAAACAACUGAUGUCAAUACUAAGAUGAAUCCAGAAAUUGGAACUUGGAGUUCCCGCCAUGGCUCAGCGGUUAACAAAUCCGACUAGGAACCAUGAGGUUGCGGGUUCGAACCCUGGCCUUGCUCAUGAAAUCAAAUUAGAAAUCAAUAAUAGAACAAGGAAAUCUUCAAACUGAAAAUUAAACAAUACAUUUCUAAAAACUGCAUGGGUUAAAAAUCUGGUCUCAAAGGAAAUAAAAAUAUACACAUUUGAAUGAAAAUUAGAAGACAAUAUAUCAAAAUUGAGAUGCAAGUAAAGCAGUGCUGAAAGGGAAAUUUACAGCACUAAAUGCUUACAUUAGGAAAGAGAAAAGUAUCAAAUUAAUAAUCCAAGUUUCUUAAGAGCUUAAGAACCUAGAAAAAUAUUAGCAACAUAAAUCCAAAGUAAGCAGAAGUAAAAAUAAAGAGCAGAAAUCGAUGAUACCGAAGAGGGAAAAAAAUUAGCAAAAGCAAUGAAAUUUAAAGCUGCUUCUUUGAAAAAGAAUCAGUAAAUAAACCUCUAGCCUGACAAAAGGAAAAAGAGACUAGACAAAUCACUAUUAUCAGACAUAAGACAGGAGCUAUUUUAACAGAUCCUAUAGCCAUUAACAUGAUAAUAACAGAAUUCUAUGAACAACUUUAUGUUCAAUUUGACAGCUUAAAAUAAAUGCACCAAUUUCUCCAAAACCAAAAAACCACCAAAAAUCCAUCAAUAUUAGAUAGAUAACUUGAAUAGUUCUAUAAUACUAAAAAAAAUAAAUAAAUAAGGGAGCUCUCUGGUGGCCUAGUAUGUUAAAGCUUCAGCUUUGUCACUGCUGUGGUGCAGUUUUGACCCCUGGCCCAGGAACUUCCACAUGCAGCGGGUGUGGCAGAAAAAACCCAAACCAACCAACCCCCCCAAAAAAAAAAAAAAAACCUGAAAUAAACUUAGCAAUUCUCAUUAAAAAAAAAAAAAAUUAAAAUUAAAUCUGUAAUGUAAGGGCUCCUGAAAAAGAUAUCCUCAGGCCCAGAUGACCUUACUGGAAAAAUUUUACCUAAUAUUUAAAGAAAAGUUAACAUCAGUUUUACAUAGUUUCUUCCAGAAAAUAAAAGAGGAAGAAAUACUUCCAAUCUCAUUUUAUGAAGCCAAUAUCACCAUGACACUAAAACCAGACAAAGGCAGGACAGAAAACUACAAACCAAUACCUCCCAUGAACUUAAAUACAAAAAUACUCAACAAAAUAUUAGCAAAUUGAGUCCAACAAUGUAUAAAAUGUAUAUACCAUGACUAAGAAAGAUUUCUAUGAGGUAUGCAAGGGUGGUUCAACAUUUGAAUGUAAUCUACCUCAUCAACAGGCUAAAGAAGAAAAAUCAUAUAAUCAUAUAAAUUGAGGCAAGAAAUGCUGACAUAAUCCAACAUUCAUUUAUGAUAAAAACUCUUAGCUAGUUAGGAACAGAAAACUACUUCUACUUGAUAAAGAACAUCCACCAAAAACCAACCAAACAAAAGCAAACACCAUACUAAAUGGUCAAAGAUGGUGGUUCCAUAAGAUCAAGACAAGAAUGUCCUCUCUUGCCAUUUCUGUUCAAUACUGCACUGAAGAUUCUAGCCAGGACAGUUUAGCAAGAAAAAGACAGAGACUGAAAAGAAAACAAAAGGAAAGAAGGAAGGGAGGUCAUUAUUUGCAGAAGAAAUAUGAUUGCCCACAUGGAAAAUCGCAAGGACUCUAAAUACUAGAACUAAUAAGCGAGAUGAGCAAGAUCACAAAGGUGAGAGCAGUCCAUAAAAAUCAAUGUCAUUUCUAUAUACUAACCAUAAACAUGCAUGAAGAUACUGAUAUUAAAAUACUAUCAUUGGGAGUUCCUUUUGUGGCACAGCGGAAACAAAUCCGACUAGUAUCCAUGAGGAUACGGGUUCAGUCCCUGGCCUUGCUCAGUGGGUUACAUAUCUGGCAUUGCCAUGACCUGUGGUGUAGGUUACAGACAUGGCUCAGAUCUUGUGUUGCUGUGGCUGUAGUGUAGGCCAGCAGCUGCAGCUGAUUGGAUCCCUAGCUUUGGAACUUCCAUAUGCUGAGAGUGUGGCCCUAAAAAGCCAAAAAAAAAAAAAAAA